rnacentral:lncRNA from 10 species
GGAAGACUGAAUUCCUGCUCGUGAAGCAGCACUGAAGUGGGAACCCUCCUGCCCUGUGUAGACAGGGAAACGGACACAGCUUCCCAAGAGAAACUUGGCCACAGAAACCAAGGGCAGAGACAAGGGACAAGGCAGCUGCUUCCCCCAAGACAACUGGAGAUGCCCACUGCCCUUUGCUCUGUCUGCUGAGAGGACCAAGAGCAAUGACACUGCAGUAGCAGUGAGCACACCCAGUGUUCAGAUCUUGGUUUCUAACACCAUCUCCAAUUAAAAGAACCAGAGGGAGGCAGAGGUCAGAGGGGAGCAGCCACCUGUGACUUGAGCAAGGACCUGAGUGAAGUGGCCACAAGCCCAGAAGUGCAGAAGCUGCCAGAAAGAAGUGGAAAGAGGAAAGGAGCGGAUUCCCCACGGAUGCCUUCAGAAGGAGCCACCUUGACUUUAGCCCUGUGAGUCCCAUUUCAAAUUUCUUGCCUCUAGAAAGGUAAGAGAAU